rnacentral:lncRNA from 1 species
UUAUCAUGUAUCAAUUUUAUGCACCGUUAACACUUGUAGAACGUAUUCUCACUCCUGUUUGUUUUGUUGUGGGACCUGUGCCCAUCUGAAGUACAUAUACGCAGGUAGAGGAAUAGCUACUUAUGAGUUAGAGGAUGACGUUAAGGCCUCUCUAGUUAUUUUAUUAUUUUUCAGGUAUUUUAGUGGGGUCGCUCUGAUAUGUAACAUUGGAGAAGAGUUGUUCUGUUUAUGUUAUGUACAUAUUUGAA